UUGGGCUCACUAUCCUGGUGCACUGAGU
rnacentral:piRNA from 1 species